rfam:Gossypium arboreum cultivar AKA8401 contig_18571_3, whole genome shotgun sequence.
AAUAGGAGAAUGACAAAUCAGAUUUUACUCUUGAUUUUCUACUUUUUACUCCUGAAGAAAAUCAAAUUCAACUAAAAAUGCUAAAAAUCAUGAAGAAAAAUCUGAUUUGUCAUUCUCCUAUU